ACUCAAAUGAAUAGACGGGGGCCCGCACAAGCGGUGGAGCAUGUGGUUUAAUUCGAUGCAACGCGAAGAACCUUACCAAGGCUUGACAUGGAUCAGACACGUACAGAGAUGUAUGUUCCCUUCGGGGCUGGUCACACAGGUGGUGCAUGGUUGUCGUCAGCUCGUGUCGUGAGAUGUUGGGUUAAGUCCCGCAACGAGCGCAACCCUUACCCUUAGUAGCUAACAAAUAAAGCUGAGCACUUUAGGGGGACUGCCGUGGAUAACACGGAGGAAGGCGGGGACGACGUCAAAUCAUCAUGCCCUUUAUGUCUUGGGCUACACACGUGCUACAAUGGCAGGUACAGAGCGAUGCGAAGCGGCGACGCGGAGCAAAGCGCAAAAAGCCUGCCCCAGUUCGGAUUAGAGUCUGCAACCCGACUUUAUGAAGUUGGAAUCGCUAGUAAUCGCAAAUCAGCAUGUUGCGGUGAAUACGUUCCCGGGCCUUGUACACACCGCCCGU
rnacentral:rRNA from 1 species